AGAUAUAUGCUGGGGAGAGGUAUUAACGGUGUAGCAGUGAAGUCCUGGAAGACAAUGUCAUGUGUAUAUAGAUUGCCCUCCACUUCUCUAUCUUGGCUACCGGCCAAGUGUGACAGAAGAAAAAUACGAUCCCAAGAUUUGACUGACAUCCCAACAGAAUCUCUACAUGAAAUGGAAGAGUACCAUUGUGACUUUCACAUGAGGAUCAAAAUGCCUCGGAUAAACCCUUCUUUAAGAUGUUUGGAUGCCUGGUAUAAACGUACAAUUUAACACCAUGGCUGUGUUCCACAUUCAUUUCACCACAUGUAAUUAUAACAAGCAGUGGCUGAGCAGCUGUAAAAGAAGAAAUGCUGGAGCUCUAUUAAAGAAAAAAGAAGCAUUGACAUGUAAAAUUGCUAGAAGUAUGAAGCAUCUCCUCCUCUCAUUUUUCUGCAUGAAAAGUGGAACUGCAAAGCCAUCAAAUCUCCUUUCCUUCUGAAAGAUCAUAGUAAUAAAAAGCCCAGGUACCCAAAGGGUAGAAACACACAACUCUGAUCACUGACUUUAGAGAGCUGGCAUAUUUGAAAGAAAAGAUUAUUGUAGUAUUUCAGCUGCUGGUUUCAAGCUGAUAGAGAGUCUUUCUCUAAAGAAAUUGUACUAUUCUCAAUUUUGAGUUUCUCUUUUCUACCACAUUGCUUCAAGGGUUCUCCAUUUCUGCUCUUGCGUAUGUUUUAACUUGAAGAACUGCUAGAAUUAAUUUCAGAACACAUACAUAUACAUUUUAUAUGUACAUGUACAUACAUACACAUAUUAUUUCUUAUGGAUUAACUAUGCAUACAAGUACAUACAGUAUCCAUCUAUCCAUCCACGCAUCAAUCAAGCGAGAGAUGCAUCCAGAAUUCUAUUAAGAAUGAAUAAGCCAUCUACAUAGUCUUUGGGAGAAAAUAAGCAGAAAAAGAAAAUCAUUCCAAAGUGUGGUAAGUAGUUUGAAAAUAAU